rnacentral:piRNA from 1 species
UGUGAGAAUCCACCUUACCCUCUUCGGUCC